rnacentral:rRNA from 1 species
UACGUAGGGUGCGAGCGUUGUCCGGAAUUACUGGGCGUAAAGGGCUCGUAGGCGGCCAACUAAGUCAGACGUGAAAUCCCUCGGCUUAACCGGGGAACUGCAUCUGAUACUGGAUGGCUUGAGUUCGGGAGAGGGAUGCGGAAUUCCAGGUGUAGCGGUGAAAUGCGUAGAUAUCUGGAGGAACACCGGUGGCGAAGGCGGCAUCCUGGACCGACACUGACGCUGAGGAGCGAAAGCCAGGGGAGCAAAGCGGG